UUAAAUUGAAGAGUUUGAUCAUGGCUCAGAUUGAACGCUGGCGGCAGGCCUAACACAUGCAAGUCGAACGGUAACAGGAAGCAGCUUGCUGCUUUGCUGACGAGUGGCGGACGGGUGAGUAAUGUCUGGGAAACUGCCUGAUGGAGGGGGAUAACUACUGGAAACGGUGGCUAAUACCGCAUAACGUCGCAAGACCAAAGAGGGGGACCUUCGGGCCUCUUGCCAUCAGAUGUGCCCAGAUGGGAUUAGCUUGUUGGUGAGGUAACGGCUCACCAAGGCGACGAUCCCUAGCUGGUCUGAGAGGAUGACCAGCCACACUGGAACUGAGACACNNNNNAGACUCCUACGGGAGGCAGCAGUGGGGAAUAUUGCACAAUGGGCGCAAGCCUGAUGCAGCCAUGCCGCGUGUAUGAAGAAGGCCUUCGGGUUGUAAAGUACUUUCAGCGGGGAGGAAGGUGUUGUGGUUAAUAACCGCAGCAAUUGACGUUACCCGCAGAAGAAGCACCGGCUAACUCCGUGCCAGCAGCCGCGGUAAUACGGAGGGUGCAAGCGUUAAUCGGAAUUACUGGGCGUAAAGCGCACGCAGGCGGUCUGUCAAGUCGGAUGUGAAAUCCCCGGGCUCAACCUGGGAACUGCAUUCGAAACUGGCAGGCUUGAGUCUUGUAGAGGGGGGUAGAAUUCCAGGUGUAGCGGUGAAAUGCGUAGAGAUCUGGAGGAAUACCGGUGGCGAAGGCGGCCCCCUGGACAAAGACUGACGCUCAGGUGCGAAAGCGUGGGGAGCAAACAGGAUUAGAUACCCUGGUAGUCCACGCCGUAAACGAUGUCUACUUGGAGGUUGUGCCCUUGAGGCGUGGCUUCCGGAGCUAACGCGUUAAGUAGACCGCCUGGGGAGUACGGCCGCAAGGUUAAAACUCAAAUGAAUUGACGGGGGCCCGCACAAGCGGUGGAGCAUGUGGUUUAAUUCGAUGCAACGCGAAGAACCUUACCUGGUCUUGACAUCCACAGAAGAAUCCAGAGAUGGAUUUGUGCCUUCGGGAACUGUGAGACAGGUGCUGCAUGGCUGUCGUCAGCUCGUGUUGUGAAAUGUUGGGUUAAGUCCCGCAACGAGCGCAACCCUUAUCCUUUGUUGCCAGCGGUUAGGCCGGGAACUCAAAGGAGACUGCCAGUGAUAAACUGGAGGAAGGUGGGGAUGACGUCAAGUCAUCAUGGCCCUUACGACCAGGGCUACACACGUGCUACAAUGGCGCAUACAAAGAGAAGCGACCUCGCGAGAGCAAGCGGACCUCAUAAAGUGCGUCGUAGUCCGGAUUGGAGUCUGCAACUCGACUCCAUGAAGUCGGAAUCGCUAGUAAUCGUGGAUCAGAAUGCCACGGUGAAUACGUUCCCGGGCCUUGUACACACCGCCCGUCACACCAUGGGAGUGGGUUGCAAAAGAAGUAGGUAGCUUAACCUUCGGGAGGGCGCUUACCACUUUGUGAUUCAUGACUGGGGUGAAGUCGUAACAAGGUAACCGUAGGGGAACCUGCGGUUGGAUCACCUCCUUACCUUAAAGAAGC
rnacentral:rRNA from 1 species